UCCCUUGUGACUCAGCUGGUAAAGAAUCUGCCUACAAUGCAGGAGACCCGAGUUUGAUCCCCGGCUUGGGAA
rnacentral:tRNA from 1 species